rnacentral:rRNA from 1 species
CGGGAAACUAGCUUCAAGAUAAGUAUUCUAAGAGGAAGCUUCGAGAACAGGAGCUGGAUAGGUUGGGGGUGUACGCGCAGUAAUGUGUUUAGCUGACCAAUACUAAUCGAACGAAAUUUUAAUC